rnacentral:rRNA from 1 species
UACGGGGGGAGCAAGCGUUGUUCGGAUUUACUGGGCGUAAAGGGCGCGUAGGCGGCCACCGCAAGUCGGUUGUGAAAUCUCUGGGCUUAACCCAGAAAGGUCAACCGAUACUGCGGGGCUAGAGUGCAGAAGGGGCAACUGGAAUUCUCGGUGUAGCGGUGGAAUGCGCAGAUAUCAGGAGGAACACCAAUAGCGAAGGCAGCUCGCUGGGACGGUACUGACGCUAAGGCGCGAAAGCGUGGGGAGCGAACAGG